AUUGAACGCUGGCGGCAGGCCUAACACAUGCAAGUCGAACGAGUGGCGGAUGGGUGAGUAAUGUCUGGGAAACUGCCUGAUGGAGGGGGAUAACUACUGGAAACGGUAGCUAAUACCGCAUACCAUCGGAUGUGCCCAGAUGGGAUUCGCUAGUAGGUGGGGUAACGGCUCACCUAGGCGACGAUCCCUAGCUGGUCUGCGAGGAUGACCAGCCACACUGGAACUGAGACACAGUCCAAACUCCUACGGGAGCCAGCAGUGGGGAAUAUUGCACAAUGGGCGCAAGCCGGAUACAGCCAUGCCGCGUGUAGGAAAAAGGCCUUCGGGUUGUAAAGUACUUUCAGCGGGGAGGCGUUACCCGCAGAAGAAGCACCGGCUAACUCCGUGCCAGCAGCCGCGGUAAGAC
rnacentral:rRNA from 1 species